rnacentral:lncRNA from 1 species
CUUCUGCUGUGGUUGGGGCUCUGCAGUUCUCAGCCAGCUGAGGAAGUCUUGAAGCAUGGCUCCCUCCUUGGCUCUGGAGAGGAUUCCAGGGCUGGCCUCACUUGGGUGGAAUUCAGGGACCUGGACUAUAACAGGCAGAAGAGAAUGUUUGAAGGAUAUAUGGAUGAGUGCGUGGAGUAGUGGAUGGAGACAUGAUGCUGUUCAGGCUUAGGCUUUUGUACUUGGUAUCCUGAGACUCACUGCUGACCUUGGGAGGUUCCUUCUUCUCAGCACUGUCGCUGCAGGUGGGUGAAUUCAGGCCUUUUUGACCCUGGCACAGAGCCAUCACGGGGGAACUAAGUGAAC